UAGCGCUUCUCAGCAGGGUUUUUUUGAAAAAAGCCAGCGAUUUCUAGGGGAAAAUCUCUCUCGUGUAAAAACCCCCCGUGACCCCAAAUCCCAGAUCCAAAUAAAUCAGAUCCCCAACUCUCUCUUCCCCAACACUCAGAUCCCCAUCUCUCUCUUCCCCAACCCUCAAACCCCCAAACCCUCUCUUCCCCAACUCUCUCUUCCCCAACCUCUCCCCCUUCCCACGAUUACACGCGUCAACGAUCGGUCCGAAGUAAGCCUGAAUCCUUUAAAUGAGCAAGCCAGCGGGGACGGAGGAGUCGGAGCCCGAAGAACCGAAGAGGGCCAUGGGGUACUUUACGACGAUGCUGAAGAGGGAUCGGAUCGCCAGCGAUCUGAUCGAAUCGGACCUCAGGGAGCUCGGGACCGCAGCGUAGAAGCUGGUGAAUCAUGGAGCCACUUUCUUUAAAUCCCUCGCUUCGAUUGCUGCCAUGUGAGCCCCAUCGACUUCUUUCAUCAUCAUUUACAUUUAUCUAUCUACUUAAAAGUGCUAAUGAUUGGUAAAUGCUCUGUGCUUUUUUAGUGAUUCCCAAUGAAUAUAAAAGUAGGAUAUAUAUGCUCUUCGUUUGUGGAUUGGUAUUAAUUUAGCUUGCUAUACAACUAUUGUAAGUUUUACCUAUAAAUCAGUUGUUGCAGGAAAUUCUCAUCCUUAUUGAUUGAUGUUAGAUGGACUAGUUUUAAUCUAGUCGGAUUUUAUGUCGGUGGUCCACCAACGAAAUGGCCCCAUGAUUUGAUGAAUGAGAGCAAGUUGUGAGUAGUUUCAAAGAAAAGGAGAUGAUAAUAAAAAUCAUCGUAUAGCAUAUACUUUGCUCUAAUUGUGAAUGUAUAGUAUAUACUCCGUCAUCUUACUCUGAUGGACUUUUUUUAUAAAGUAGAGAAUGAUGAUCGAUGGGCUGCUUGUUUAAUUAAUCACAGAAGAAUUGUUUGGCAAAGGCUUCUUGCUGCAUAUAUAGAGAACGAAGCAGCUAGCUCCCUCAGUGUUCGAUUAAUUAGUUCGAGGUUUUCAGCAAGUGACAAUGCGCCUAGUACUGUCAGCUUCUAAGCAACUGACUUCACUUUCUAGAUUGCCUUCAUUUGCCAAAUAAUUGACCCUUAUUAUUGGAUUUGGAUCCUCUCCACUACAAAAAAGUAGUGGAGAGACCACUACUUUUAAUCUCAAGCAUUGAUUAUUUAGUAGGCGGUUAUGAUACAAUCUAAAUCUAACACUUAUCAUAUCCCCGUGUAUUGCACUCAUUCCUAAUUUGCACUAAAAGAAAAAAUCAUAACCAUCAACUAGAUAAUCAAUGGCUGUGAUUAUGUAGUGGUCCCUCCACUAUUUUUUUUUGUAGUGGAGAGGAUCUGAAUCCCUUAUUAUUACCUCUCUGAAUACGCGACAUGCAUGAACGCUCUCAAAUAUGCUCUUUUAUUAUGAUAUUGGAUGGGUUUCAUUUAGGAAUAUGUUCAGUUUUUUAUUUGGCUGAUUUGUCUCAUUUGAAAGAUUGACUACAGGUAUGACAGUUGAUGACAAAAAGAAAACUAAUUGUUCCUCUAUGUUAUUGAUUUGAGCAGAAAAAGGUUGGACCUAUAAGUAUCAACUCAUGGCUUACCAACCAUUUUAUCAUUCUUCUAUUUCAUUUAGAGAGCAAGCAAUUAGAGGGCAAAUAGAUGGGCUGAAAUGAAGUUGAAAUUAUCUACUCAAAACUUUGAAUUAAAGGUGUUAGCAUCCAAGUCCAAUGAAGUCUGAAUACAACCCGGUGACAACAAAUAGUGGCAAACCAAUGCAUAUUAAUCUUUAAUAAAUAGUACAAACCACUUCAAAGGACAAAACACUAAUUAGAAGCACUAAUUAAAGGAUUAACCACUGUUGUGUAGAAAGCGCAUUGGACACUAAAACGGCACUUGAAGUUACCUACAUUCAUAAACAAGCCACAGCAUUCCAGCCUCUCCCUUGUGCAUGUUUUGCUACUCAUCUAAGACCAAUAAAAGCAAAUACAAGACAUACCCAGUAGUUCUGACACUUUCACUUGAGGGAUAUCAUACUUAUUAGUAGCAAGCAUUGUAACCUUCAACAAAUGCUCAGAAACCCAUAAUGCUAACCAUGUAACCAAGGAAAAUUCACACUAACAAAGAGACUGCAACUCUCAAAUGAAGAGGAAUGCUCAUAAGCAAACACAAUAGGUGCAUACAUAACAAGAAAAUUCACACUGUCUAUGUUUCAACAAAUAAUGGAUAUACACAACAUAUCAACAACAAAUUGAAAGAGACUGCAACUUCAGCAUUCUUCA